AAAAAGGAAAGGAGAGAUGAUUGCGACGUCACUCGAGGAGCUGUGGACGCUGUGGCUACGCCGGCUACGAACACAUGAAAGGGAUAAGGGGAGGAAUGACUAUAAAGGAAUGCGGAGGGAGGAGGCGACAGACAAAACAGACUGUGUGCUUACCGAAGGAAGAGCGAGAUGAAUAAGGAAGAUCCGACUGCUCUGCGUCGAUGGUAGAUUAAAGGGCAAUACCUUCUGCGCAACAUGCGCGCGUCUUUCGGAGCUGGACGCAAAAUCGAGAGGCUGGAAAGGAGAGGAAUCGCAUCCGGGGGACUCGUAACUCUAUUCAUCUAUUGCGAGCGAUUCAAAGGCAAUCAAAGGAGUCCUUUAAAGGAUGGAAUCUCGGCGACUAGAACGGACACGUAUUUGGAUACAUCUGUAAUCUCGGCAGGAUUCUCUCGAUCGAGGAUCUAUCUACUUGUAAUCUCUGCGCCAUCGCGAUGAAGUUGAAAUUCGUGGCCGACACCUCUCCGCAAUGACCGCAAUGAGUUUGAACAAAAUAACGUUCCUGUCAGUAGACGGUCUAUAAGUAAAACGUGUCUAGCCAAAGGCUUGAAAACGAUAUAUGCCACGUACGAAAAUAUAAAUAAAAGCAGGAG